rnacentral:misc_RNA from 1 species
UAUCACGUAUCAAUGAACCUGCAUCUUUCUUUCCACAGUUGCGAUUACUUUCAUGUUUGCUCUAAGAGGCGAUCGACACUUGCGGGUGGGAGGAGAUGGAAAGAAAAGAGAAAAAAAAAAAUAGAAAAAUAGAAAAAUAGGAAAAAAACAAAAAAAAGCUGAGAAGACUUCGGUCUCGACGACCUUGGGAGGGGGGGGGGGGGGUCUAGAUCGCGGAUCGCAGAAAACAGAAGUCGCGGCGUUAAAGAAAGCGAGAUCUGUAAAAUUGGAAAGAAAAAAAAAAUCAAGAAAAGGAGGCCGUUGCACUCACCGAAGUGGAAAUUGCAGGGAGUCGUGCGAUGAGUAUCUUAUGCCAAUUGACCAGAUAGGCCUCAGCAACGAUACCGAGAAAAUAUUUGACGGCUCCAAUCUGCAGAAAUCGUGCCACCAGAAUCUACAUAUGUAUACGCGCGCGUGUGCGUAGCGUGGGACGGUUAACAAUCGUUGGCCAAUAUCUUUGGUAGAAAAUCCGGGGAUUUUUUUUUUCACGUUCCUCUUCUUCUUAUUCUUCUGUGUAUGUUUCGUCGACGCACGACCGUCGCGCUAAAACUCCUGCCCAGAAUUCCUAAUGAACAUUUACGGAAACGAGGCGAAACUUCGUAGCGGGUGGACAACCGGCGCGGGCCUUCGAUGGGACAAUUUUUGUCGCAUAUCUCACUCUGACCUCAUGGGACUGAAAAAAAAUCAUUCGGCCCUGAAUCGAACCUCGAAUUUCAUUGGGAGAUGACACGUUGUAAAUUUACUUUUGAAUACACAUCGCAGUCACGUAGUACACGUGUCAUUGUGUAACAGUUUUCAAAUUUCCGGUCAAUUUUGUAAUCCAAAAUAUUCAAUUACUUUUUUUCCACGAUGAAUUUCAUCGAGUACGAGAAAGAAGAAUGAUUGUGAACAGAUUCGAUUUUGUGUUUUUCUUUUCUUUUUUUUUUCAUUCUUCUUUUUUUAAUAGAUUUUCAACCAAUCCGGAGAUAGUCGAAAAAUUUCGAAUCUGAGGCAUGAAUUUUGGAAAUGAGGCAUUGAUCCGGUGAAAAUUGUUGGUUGGCAAUGCAAUUCUAUUCACAAUUGAAGAUACGCUCGUUUCACUUUUUAUUGGAUGACUGAACGCGAUACUUAUCUUUUUCAAAUAAGAUAAGGAAGUUUUAUUAAUGUUUAUUGAUUUUUUUUAUUUUUUUUUAAUUUUUUUUUUUUU